rnacentral:rRNA from 1 species
AGCUCCAAUAGCGUAUAUUAAAGUUGUUGCAGUUAAAAAGCUCGUAGUUGGAUUUCUGUCUUUAACUGCCGGUCCGCUGAUGUAUUUCAGUGUGUACUAGGUUGUUGAAUUCAUUUUUGUGAGAAUCCUUAUCUGGCAUUAAGUUGCCGGGUUUGUGUACUUGCAUCUUUUACUGUGAAAAAAUUAGAGUGUUUAAAGCAGGCGUUCGCUUAUUUGAAUACAUUAGCAUGGAAUAAUAAGAUACGACUUGUGUGGUCUAUUUUGUUGGUUUGCACACGCGAGUAAUGAUUAAUAGGGACAGUUGGGGGUAUUCAUAUUUCAGCGUCAGAGGUGAAAUUCUUGGAUCGCUGAAAGAUGAACUUAGGCGAAAGCAUUUACCAUGGAUGUUUUCAUUAAUCAA